GCUUCAAGCAUGCGCAGAGAGAGGGCUUUUCUCGGCCGCCCUCUGAGCGUGCGCGGUAACGGUCGUAGAACGGCCGGGCGCGAGGCGGGGCGCCCCCCUGCGGCGGUUGGGCGCGCGGCGAUGGAACUGGAGGCGGCGCGGCGCGCGGUGUUGGCCGCCGUGCGGGGCACGUGCGCCGCGGAUCUGCCCCGCCUGCUGCACUGGAUGCGCCACAGCAGUGACUUUGAUGAGUUUGUGGUGACAAACAAUGAUGUUGUACUCAAAAAUAUUGCUGAAGAUUUGCGGAAUCAUUUACCCAUUGAGGCAAUGUUUAAUUCGGAACAUCUAGCUAUUCAGAAGAUACAUCAACAUCCGCUGCCCAUGGUUCACAUCGAUGCAUUCCUUUAUGAUGAUGAUUUUGUUGAUACAAUGUGUGAGGAGGGGAGAAUGAGUAGGAACUACUGCACGGAGUGUGGCUCAUACAAGACUGCAUCUUUAGAGUUUAUUUCGCAUUCCUUUUCCCUCAUGGAACUGAAGUUUCUUUAUCUACAUGUACUGCCUGACCUGACAGGAAAGGUAGUGGUUGACGUUGGCUCCAGGCUUGGUGCAGUGCUAUUUGCGGGUUAUCUUUAUAGCUCAGCAUCCCAACUGUAUGGAGUAGAAAUGAAUGCAGACUUUUGCCAGUUGCAAGAAAUGACAAUUACAAAAUACCAGUUCAUUGACAGAAUAAAGGUGGUUCACGCAGACAUCUGUACUCAGGCUUCACUUCUUCAGAAGGCUGAUGUUAUUGUAAUGAAUAAUGUCUUUGAAUAUUUUCUUGACAGACUGGAACAGGCCAGAGCUUGGGAGUUUAUUGCUUGUAAUGUAAGGAAAAGAGGGUCCUUGUUAGUUACAGUUCCAAGCCUUAAAGAAUCACUCUCAAAGCUCCAGACGGAUAUACAGCUCAGCCAAUGGGUAGAGGAGGUGCAGCUAAACUAUGACGUAUAUGUGGAAAAGGAUGUUGACAGAGAAGCACUCCAACAAAUACAUUUAUACAGGAUUCUGUAGUACCUGGGAAAACUUAUUAAUAUCCUUGCAAUAUCAUAUAUUUUGAGUCUAAAAUGAAUUCCGAUUUGUAUGUAUGAAUAAAUUGAGUAUGAGUUGUUA